UAGUGGAAUGCGCAGGCAGUCAUGAUUUCCUGAUGAGAGCCUGAAGGACAUGUACUUCCCUCCUAAUGAAAUACUCAAAUACAAAACUGACAACCACUAGGCAGAAGUGGUCAACUCUACAACCUGAUGGCAAAAGAAAACUAAGGAACUCAUUGUCAUCGCCCGCCUGAGCUGUGGUCCCGAGUGUCCCUUUCAUAAAGUCAUUUGGACAUGGAUAUUUAACCAUUUGCUACAUCAUGCUGAGCUGGGGCCAAAUAAUCUAUGAAUAACUCCUACUAUGCCUGUCGGAAAACAGUGAAAUGGUACAGAAAUCUUGUUAUCCUUCCCCCAUCGCUUUCUCUUCCUUAAAAAAAAAAAA